rnacentral:rRNA from 1 species
GACGUAGGGCGCGAGCGUUGUCCGGAUUUAUUGGGCGUAAAGAGCUCGUAGGCGGCUUGUUGCGUCAGCUGUGAAAACCCGCAGCUCAACUGUGGGCUUGCAGCUGAUACGGGCAGGCUUGAGUUCGUAGGGAGACUGGAAUUCCUGGUGUAGCGGUGAAAUGCGCAGAUAUCAGGAGGAACACCGGUGGCGAAGGCGGGUCUCUGGGCCGAUACUGACGCUGAGGAGCGAAAGCGUGGGGAGCGAACAGG